GGUUUUGUUGCUGGUAAAGAUCAGCAGCGGCACCAGCGCCAGCGCAAUACCAAAACUCAGCAGCACCUGGCUCAUGACCAGAAUUCGCGUUGGGUCGAGUCCCAUCAGAAUCACCA
rnacentral:tRNA from 2 species